rnacentral:rRNA from 1 species
UACGAAGGGGGCUAGCGUUGCUCGGAAUUACUGGGCGUAAAGCGCACGUAGGCGGCUUGUUAAGUCGGAGGUGAAAUCCUGGAGCUCAACUCCAGAACUGCCUUCGAUACUGGCGAGCUUGAGUUCGGGAGAGGUGAGUGGAACUGCGAGUGUAGAGGUGAAAUUCGUAGAUAUUCGCAAGAACACCAGUGGCGGAAGGCGGCUCACUGGCCCGAUACUGACGCUGAGGUGCGAAAGCGUGGGGAGCAAACAGG